AUACGGAGGGGGCAAGCGUUGUUCGGAAUUACUGGGCGUAAAGCGCGCGUAGGCGGUCUGUUUAGUCAGGCGUGAAAUCCCUGGGCUCAACCCAGGAAUUGCGUUUGAAACUGGCAGACUAGAGUUCGGGAGAGGAGAGUGGAAUUCCCAGUGUAGAGGUGAAAUUCGUAGAUAUUGGGAAGAACACCAGUGGCGAAGGCGGCUCUCUGGACCGAUACUGACGCUGAGGUGCGAAAGCGUGGGGAGCAAACAGGAUUAGAUACCCCAGUAGUCC
rnacentral:rRNA from 1 species